rnacentral:rRNA from 1 species
GAUGAACGCUGGCGGCGUGCUUAACACAUGCAAGUCGAACGAUGAAGCCCAGCUUGCUGGGUGGAUUAGUGGCGAACGGGUGAGUAACACGUGAGUAACCUGCCCUUAACUCUGGGAUAAGCCUGGGAAACUGGGUCUAAUACUGGAUAGGAGCGUCCACCGCAUGGUGGGUGUUGGAAAGAUUUAUCGGUUUUGGAUGGACUCGCGGCCUAUCAGCUUGUUGGUGAGGUAAUGGCUCACCAAGGCGACGACGGGUAGCCGGCCUGAGAGGGUGACCGGCCACACUGGGACUGAGACACGGCCCAGACUCCUACGGGAGGCAGCAGUGGGGAAUAUUGCACAAUGGGCGCAAGCCUGAUGCAGCGACGCCGCGUGAGGGAUGACGGCCUUCGGGUUGUAAACCUCUUUCAGUAGGGAAGAAGCGAAAGUGACGGUACCUGCAGAAGAAGCACCGGCUAACUACGUG